rnacentral:lncRNA from 1 species
UUAACCGUCAGGGUCCGUACAUUUGUAUUGACUACAUAAGCAAAAAUUGAGGCAUCAAUUCAUUUUGUAUGAGCAUUGCGAUAAGUCAGACUAUUGGUUAAUUUGUGAUGAGGAUGCAAACGGCUAUAGAUUGCUGAGAUAAAUGAUAAAUUCGUUGAAAUGGCAACAGAGUCAGACGAAACAGCUUAAGAAGCUGACACAGACUUGGAAUUUGACGGUGGCGAUGUCGAUGAUGCUAUUGUAACCGACAAAGGUUUGAAGAAGCUAGAUUUGAGUAAAGAAGCUAGAGAAGCUGCAUUGCACCUGCAAUAAUUCAUGGAGUGGUAUUCUCAAUAAGAAGAAG